rnacentral:snRNA from 1 species
CUCUCAUCCUCAACACUUGGAGG